UUAAUAUUUACUGUCAAUUUAUCUCCAAUUUAUUCCUUAAUAGGUAUACAUCAAAUGAUUUGAAGACCCAUCACUUUGUUCAACAGAAGACUUUAGUGGGUCGCGCAAUAUAUGGAAGAAUUUUUAGGACAGAAAUUUUGUUCUUAUUGAUGCACAAAUGAAUUAUAUAUGGCAUCCAAUGCUUUUUCAACGAAUUGAUCAGGUACAAUUCCGUGUCCCCU
rnacentral:lncRNA from 1 species